UACUCCACAUGGUAGAGCAUUAACCACAAAU
rnacentral:piRNA from 1 species